rnacentral:rRNA from 1 species
UGCGUAGGCGGUGUGGUAAGUCUGGUGUGAAACCUCCAGGCUCAACUUGGAGCUGGCAUCAGAAACUGCCGUGCUAGAGUGCGGGAGAGGAGAGUAGAAUUCCCGGUGUAGCGGUGAAAUGCGUAGAUAUCGGGAGGAAUACCGGUGGCGAAAGCGGCUCUCUGGACCGCAACUGACGCUGAGGCACGAAAGCCAGGGGAGCAAACAGGAUUAGAUACCCUGGUAGUCCUGGCCGUAAACGAUGAACACUUGGUAUAGCGGGUAUCGAACCCCGCUGUGCCGGAGCUAACGCGUUAAGUGUUCCGCCUGGGGAGUACGGUCGCAAGGCUGAA